rnacentral:rRNA from 1 species
UACAGAGGGUGCGAGCGUUGUUCGGAAUUAUUGGGCGUAAAGGGCGCGUAGGCGGUGCGGUAAGUCACCUGUGAAAUCUCCUGGCUCAACUGGGAGCUUGCAGGCGAAACUGCCGUGCUGGAGUGUGGGAGAGGUGCGUGGAAUUCCUGGUGUAGCGGUGAAAUGCGUAGAUAUCAGGAGGAACACCGGUGGCGAAGGCGGCAUUCUGGACUGUAACUGACACUGAGAGACGAAAGCCAGGGGAGCAAACGGG